CGCUGAUCAGUUUGUGUGUUGUGUGUUUGAGAAACAGUUUAAUUUUAUUUUGUUGCUAAUUUAGUGACAUGCUCAUUUUAAAAUGGACGACAUUGGAAGUUUAGAAGUCAGGGGCAGAUCUAUAUGCUGAACUCAGCCUAGUCAGACGAGAUUGUGAAGGUCCUGGAUGUUCUCAGUGGAAACUUUGUGACAGCAGCUUUGUUGCACACUGACAGGAAUAUCUGUGUGUCAUUGAGGGAGUCUGGAGAACUGCAGCUGUGGUCCUCAGAUGGUAUCUGCAUCAGUUCGCUGUUUCUUCAAGCUGAGGUCAGAUUGACAACAUAUGAACAUUUGGAACAUGUGUAUUGUGCCACUUUAGUACAAGUGUUCUAUGAUUAUUGUCUAUAAAUGACUUUAAAUUAACCAAACAAUUAUAUUUUUAAGAAUACUGAGAAAGAAUUUAGUUCUAAACAUGUGAAAAACAAUUAAUCUGUGUCUGUUUAGGUGACAAGUCUAGCCUGCUGUCCUAUUGCACAUUAUGCAGCUGUUGUUCAGCAGUGAAUUCAGUUUUAUGUAACGUCUAGUACAAAAAUAGUGUUUGAUUGGUCAAUGAUGUCCCUCUGCACCCAUAAUAAGUAGCAACAAGUAAUCUAUAUGAAAGAUAAUAGUUUUAGAAAUGCUUUCUAACAGAAAUACCUCUCAUACUAUGCAGGUCCAAACAGAAACAGCAUUUACCAAACAGUACAGUAGUGUUUUGUUUUCAGUCAUACUACUGCAAGUCUGAUGGCAGCUAUUAAGAGUUCUAAUUUCCUUUUUUUAUUACUUUUUGCAGCUUAUUUCUUCAUUUUUUUGGUGAUAAUUCUACUGUCUUGAUGUCAGAUCUUUGAACCACCUUGUGUUAACUUGGGGGAAACAUGAUGUUUUUUUAUGCAUUUGUAAGACAAACAGAAAAUUCAGAUUUAUUCCAGAGUCAUUGCAUGGACAGAUUUUAUUUUCAGUGACACUUUGGAUUAUUGAAAACACCCUGAGUUAAGCGAUUAUUGUAUGUCGUUGCCAUUAUGGGAAUUCCAUCUUUUCCUCUGAUAACAAAAUACCUCGUAAAUGUGCAUUGAAGGCACAUUUUUGAUCUUUUGAACUGUUAUUACAUCAGAGUUAAAAAACAAACAAACAAAUAAACAAAAAAAAACUUAAGAUAUGAUUAUAAA